GGUUCGAGAGAUUAAUAAGGAAUCCGAUUAGAAUCCGGAGCUGUAUCUGCAGCUGUAUUAGCUUUAAAAACGAUUUGAAUACCACUGUGUAAACGGGAAGGUAAAUCGAAAUUAGCUUAAGCCAGAAUACUUGCCAUUGAAUAA
rnacentral:ncRNA from 1 species